AGGAUGGCUGGUUUUGGGAUUUCGUUUUAUUGGAUUUAUUUAUUCAUAUCAAAUAAUGCAGCAUUUUCUUGAAUCUUCCCAUUAGAUUAUCCACGGCCUAUUAUUCAAUCCUAAAACUAUCAAAGCAACACAUCACAGAGUGCAGAAAGCAGUCUCCAUGCAACACUGCCACUUCCAGUGCUCCAGAAGCAUCAAACCACUGUCCAUCCUAGGAAACAACUUGCAGGAACCUGGGUCUCUUGGUAUCAUUAGCAAAGAUUAGCUCGUAGUAAUCUAGAGCAAUAGAUCCCUUUCCAGCAGUCUCCAACAACACAGAGUUUCCUGUCUUCCUCCUCUUCUGCUUGAUCUUGGGGCUGCAGGGGUUGAGGAACAGAGUCCACAUUCCAAGCACAGCCUUCUUUUCAGGCUCUGAGAACAGGUUCGUUGUGAGACAAAUGCAAGUUUCUAAAGCUGGGUCUGGAAGCAAGCGGCAUAGGCCUUCAUCCCAGUACUCCGUGAGGCAGAGGCAGGACGAUGCCAAAUUACAGCCCAGCCUGGGGAAUUUAGCAACUUUGUGAGACCUUGUCUUGAAAUAAGAUAUAAAAGUGGGCUUGGGAUAUAGCUCAGUACAAAGGCCCCUGGGUUCAAUACCUCCUACCACAAAAAAAAGCAAUUAAAAAAAAUGCGUGAGAUUUGCCCGUAAUACCAGUGAGAAAGCACCGUUCAUAGCCAUACCCCACUGGCUAGAGCCCGCUGACAUAAACUCUGUGUUCAAUAAAUAUUUGU
rnacentral:lncRNA from 1 species